rnacentral:rRNA from 1 species
UGAGGAACAUGACUUUCGGCGGGGGGAUAGCCGCCCAACGGCCGGGUAAUACCGCGUACGACCACAUGGGGACAUCCCUGAGUGGUGAAAGCAGCAAUGCGCCGAUGGAGUGCCUCGCGGCCUAUCAGCUAGUUGAUGAGGUAACGGCUCACCAAGGCGACGACGGGUAGCUGGUCUGAGAGGAUGGCCAGCCACAGUUGGGACUGAGACACGGCCCAGAUCCCGUACGGGG